rnacentral:lncRNA from 1 species
GGGGGGGGGGGGCUAGGAUGAAAAAUUUUGUCCUGCAUUUUUUUUUAGCUGUAAUCUCUGUCCUGCCUUUUUAUUUUUCACUCUGUUCGGUCCUGCCUUUUUUUUUUAGUUUAUCCAGACUUUUUUUUACCUAAAUUGUCGUCCUGACUUUUUUUUUUUUGCAAGUGUCUCAUCCGCUUUUUUUUACUCAAAACUCCUGUCCUGCCUAUUUUUUUCAAAUUUCAUCCUAGCCCCCCCCAAUAAAAAUCAAAUGGUAGCUCCCUUAG